rnacentral:rRNA from 1 species
AUUGAACGCUGGCGGCAUGCCUUACACAUGCAAGUCGAACGGUAACGGGCCUUCGGGUGCCGACGAGUGGCGAACGGGUGAGUAAUGUAUCGGAACGUACCUUUCAGUGGGGGAUAACGUAGCGAAAGUUACGCUAAUACCGCAUAUUCUGUGCGCAGGAAAGCAGGGGAUCGCAAGACCUUGCGCUGAUUGAGCGGCCGAUAUCAGAUUAGCUAGUUGGUGAGGUAAAGGCUCACCAAGGCGACGAUCUGUAGCGGGUCUGAGAGGAUGAUCCGCCACACUGGAACUGAGACACGGUCCCGACUCCUACGGGGGGCAGCAGUGAGGAAUAUUGGGCAAUGGGCGAAAGCCUGACCCAGCAACGCCGCGUGGAGGAUGAAGGCUUUAGGGUUGUAAACUCCUUUUGUGGGGGAAAAGAAUGGAUGGUACCCCAAGAAUAAGUCACGGCUAACUACGUG